UCUCUCUCUCCCCUCCUCUCUCUGGAAUCAAUAAAAAACAUUUAAAAACAAAAAACAAAAAUGAUUGCAAACUCCAUGAUGACAGAAACGUAUACUGCUGGUGGUUUGAUUUCAUGCCCCAAGACUGGUCUUCUUUUUGGCUAAAUAAAACCUUUUUCAAAAAACAAGAACAAACAACAAUUCAUUUAAGUCCUUGUUUAACAGAGCCUUGUUCAAAUAACUGUUUGAAACGCCAAAGAGAAAGGGCCGCAAUUUAAACCCCUUUUCUCCCUGGAGGCUUCUCAGCAGAUGUGGAAGUUUACUCACCUCUUUCUUCUGAGCCACUU